AGAUUAGGUAGUUGGUGGGAUAAAAGCUUACCAAGCCGACGAUCUGUAGCUGGUCUGAGAGGACGAUCAGCCACACUAGGACUGAGACACGGCCCAGACUCCUACGGGAGGCAGCAGUGGGGAAUUUUGGACAAUGGGCGCAAGCCUGAUCCAGCAAUGCCGCGUGCAGGAUGAAGGCCUUCGGGUUGUAAACUGCUUUUGUACGGAACGAAAAGCCCUGGGUUAAUACCCUGGGGUCAUGACGGUACCGUAAGAAUAAGCACCGGCUAACUACGUGCC
rnacentral:rRNA from 1 species